UUGGAGGGCAAGUCUGGUGCCAGCAGCCGCGGUAAUUCCAGCUCCAAUAGCGUAUAUUAAAGUUGUUGCAGUUAAAAAGCUCGUAGUUGAAUUUCGGGAUCAGCAGGUUGGUCGUGCCUCUGGUAUGCACUGGUCUCGCUGAUUCCUCCUUUCUGAAGAACUGUAAUGUCAUUAAUUUGGUGUUGCAGGGAAACAGGACUGUUACUUUGAAAAAAUUAGAGUGUUUAAAGCAGGCUAACGCUUGAAUACAUUAGCAUGGAAUAAUGAAAUAGGACGUUUGAUCCUAUUUUGCUGGUUUCUAGGAUUGACGUAAUGAUUAAUAGGGAUAGUUGGGGGCAUUAGUAUUCAAUUGUCAGAGGUGAAAUUCUUGGAUUUAUUGAAGACUAACUACUGCGAAGGCAUUUGCCAAGGAUGUUUUCAUUAAUCAAGAACGAAAGUUAGGGGAUCGAAGACGAUCGGAUACCGUCGUAGUCUUAACCAUAAACUAUGCCGACUAGGGAUCGGAUGAUGUUAAUUUUUUAAUGACUCAUUCGGCGCCUUACGGGAAAC
rnacentral:rRNA from 1 species